rnacentral:rRNA from 1 species
ACAUACGGCCACACCGGACUGAACGUGCUCGAUCCCGUAUGAUCUCGGAAGCUAAGGAGUCCUGGACCUGGCUAGAACUUGGAUUGCUACUGUAUUUU